rnacentral:rRNA from 1 species
UUCUUAAUGAGUUUAAUUUUAAGUAACACCUGCUCAAUGAUUUAUUUAAAUAGCCGCGGAAAUUUAACCGUGCUAAGGUAGCAUAAUCAUUAGUCCUUUAAUUAAGGACUUGUAUGAAUGGUGAGACAUUUCAAUUACUUUAUUAAUUUAUUCUUUUUAAAUUAAACUAAGAAUAAAAAUGUUCUUAUUUUUAAAAAAGACGACAAGACCCUUUUGAACUUUACUAUUGUUUAGCUGGGGCAGCUAAAAAAGAAAAAUUUUUUAUAUUUUUUUUUUAAUAAAUGACCCAAUAAAAUUGAUUAUUUGAUCAAGUUACCAUAGGGAUAACAGCGUAAUACUUUAUUUAAGUUCUUAUUUAAUAAAAUGAUUGCGACCUCGAUGUUGAAUUAAUGUAACUUUAAUAAUGCAAUAAUUUUAAAAGUAGGUCUGUUCGACCUUUAAAACAUUACAU